rnacentral:lncRNA from 1 species
CAAAAGAGUUAAAGGCCUUCCUCUAGCCAUUGGUGAGGAUCUGCUGAGAUCAGGAGGUUUGAAAGCCCAUCAGAUCGCCAGAGACCUGGGACAGUCGAGACAAGGCCUCAAGGUGUGGACUCAGAAUAAGGAGUGGAGCGAGGAAAGUUCCAGCCAAGAGAGUUCCAGUGAUCAUGCACUCGACUCAAUUUCAUGAUUGUCUCAUAGCUUUGAUGUGAUUGCAAAGCUUGGCCAGCG